UACGUAGGCAGCAAGCGUUGUUCGGAGUUACUGGGCGUAAAGGGUGCGUAGGCGGCUUUUUAAGUUUGGUGUGAAAUCUCCCGGCUCAACUGGGAGGGUGCGCCGAAUACUGAGAGGCUAGAGUGUGGGAGAGGAAAGUGGAAUUCCUGGUGUAGCGGUGAAAUGCGUAGAUAUCAGGAGGAACACCGGUGGUGAAAGCGGCUCUCUGGGCCAUAACUGACGCUGAUGCGCGAAAGCGUGGGGAGCAAACAGG
rnacentral:rRNA from 1 species